rnacentral:rRNA from 1 species
CUACGGGUGGCUGCAGUGGGGAAUAUUGGGCAAUGGGCGCAAGCCUGACCCAGCAACGCCGCGUGAGGGAAGAAGGUUUUCGGAUUGUAAACCUCUGUCCUUGGGGACGAAGAAGUGACGGUACCCAAGGAGGAAGCUCCGGCUAACUACGUGCCAGCAGCCGCGGUAAUACGUAGGGAGCAAGCGUUGUCCGGAAUUACUGGGCGUAAAGGGUGCGUAGGCGGCAUAUUAAGUCAGGUGUGAAAUACUCGGGCUCAACCCGAGGGGUGCAUUUGAAACUGAUAAGCUUGAGUGUGAGAGAGGAAAGUGGAAUUCCUAGUGUAGCGGUGGAAUGCGUAGAUAUUAGGAGGAACACCAGUGGCGAAGGCGACUUUCUGGCUCAUAACUGACGCUGAGGCACGAAAGCGUGGGGAGCAAACAGGAUUAGAUACCCGAGUAGUC